GCAUGGCUGAAUUCUGUGUUACUUUGCAUGUAGUAAAUACAGUCAGACACCAUGCUAAAUUACUGCUCUCACAAAC
ensembl:snoRNA